rnacentral:rRNA from 1 species
UCUGUAGGUGAAAACUGCGGAGUGAUCAUUACCGAGUUUACAACUCCCAAACCCAAUGUGAACGUUACCAAACUGUUGCCUCGGCGGGAUCUCUGCCCCGGGUGCGUCGCAGCCCCGGACCAAGGCGCCCGCCGGAGGACCAACCAAAACUCUUAUUGUAUACCCCCUCGCGGGUUUUUUUAUAAUCUGAGCCUUCUCGGCGCCUCUCGUAGGCGUUUCGAAAAUGAAUCAAAACUUUCAACAACGGAUCUCUUGGUUCUGGCAUCGAUGAAGAACGCAGCGAAAUGCGAUAAGUAAUGUGAAUUGCAGAAUUCAGUGAAUCAUCGAAUCUUUGAACGCACAUUGCGCCCGCCAGUAUUCUGGCGGGCAUGCCUGUCCGAGCGUCAUUUCAACCCUCGAACCCCUCCGGGGGGUCGGCGUUGGGGAUCGGCCCUGCCUUGGCGGUGGCCGUCUCCGAAAUACAGUGGCGGUCUCGCCGCAGCCUCUCCUGCGCAGUAGUUUGCACACUCGCAUCGGGAGCGCGGCGCGUCCACAGCCGUUAAACACCCAACUUCUGAAAUGUUGACCUCGGAUCAGGUAGGAAUACCCG